rnacentral:rRNA from 1 species
UACGAAGGGGGCUAGCGUUGCUCGGAAUCACUGGGCGUAAAGCGCACGUAGGCGGUUUGUUAAGUCAGGGGUGAAAUCCCACAGCUCAACUGUGGAACUGCCUUUGAUACUGGCAAGCUAGAGUCCGGAAGAGGUAAGUGGAACUCCUAGUGUAGAGGUGGAAUUCGUAGAUAUUAGGAAGAACACCAGUGGCGAAGGCGGCUUACUGGUCCGGAACUGACGCUGAGGUGCGAAAGCGUGGGGAGCAAACAGG